UUUUGAUACUGCUGUAGUAAUAGAAAGGAAUCAUGGUAAUCAGGCUUUUCAAAAUGAAAUGGUUUGACUACAAUUUAUGAUAGUCACUGGCCAAAUUGGCCAGCAGAGGUUUUUUGGGAUGGAGAGAGCACUGCGACUCUUAUACACCCAUGUGUGACCUGCUGACCUGAGCUCCAGAGAAAAGGCAGUUUUACGCUGAAGUUGAUCCUGUCUGAGCUCUAUUUUUUUUCCAGUUGCAACAGUCAGAAAAAUCAGCAUGAUGGAAUGGCAAUACAGGAGAUGUAACAACAAGGGAACUAGCUCUACAGAAAGGUACUACAAAGGAAAAGUGCUCCCCUGUCUCUGAAGGUGUAGAUUCACAAAGGAAACUUCACGAAACCAGAGAUCCUUCCCCAGUGCCAGUCAGCCCUCAAAUGAGGUCUAAGAGAGGUGCAGCCAGGCUCCACCCCUUCUGGUCACACAGCUGAAUUGCCUUCACCUGUGCUCCCAGGGCUGCCUGGGUCCCUUCCCCAGGUGCUCAAUCGGUGCUUCAGGCCAUGACUCAACAGUUGUCAUACAGGUGUUCAGCACUAUUUAUCUGCUAAAUUGUAUUUCAAAUAAAGCAAGAAUCACAUCUCAAUAUAUGCUAAAGUAUCUAUUAUGUUGAGAGGCUGUUUAUUUAGAUCUAAAAAAUAAGAAAAAAUUAAAAAGGGUUUGAAAAUUAUAAGGAAAAGGAUAAAUGUGAUUGUAGGAAAAAGAGAGGGGAAAUACUUAAGAAAAGCUAGAUUUUAACCAGAGCUUAAGUGUUCUCCCAAAUGCACAGAAUUUCCCUGCAACAAUCCUCUUUUCAUCCUCAGGAGUAAUGCUGUUGAACAGUGCUCAUGAGGAACUUGCAUCUGCGCUAGCUGAGCUCUGUUUAAGAACUGAAGAGAGGAAAGCAUCUAAUUAACAACUGAUGAAACACUGAAGCAAUGAGGAAAGCUAUUUUCCCAAUGGAGGUUGUUCUCUGUCCUGCAGAGCUGAUGUUUCCCCAUAGAGAUGUCCUCAGCUGCUGUAUUGAAUUCAAAGACAAAAUAAGAUUUUACAAAACCUAAACUCCAUCUUGACGUGAUUCCCACAUGUGAGUGAGUGAGUGAAAAUUCAAGCCAAAGGAGAAUCCACUGCUACAGGAUGCAGAAACUGCUAUAAAGUAGAAGUAAAAAAACCUUCAUUUUUUUUAUCAGGCCAUUACUGACUUUGUUCUUCUGGUCAAGGAACAGAAAUUGCCAGAACUCAGUUUCUCACAUUUUUACAAAGAAUCACAGAAGUGCUCAGUUUUCAGCAGGUGCAAGGAGGAGGGUGGGUUAAAGGUAUUACAAGUAUCAUCUGAAAUACAGCACAAGUUCAUCUAACAUGAAGCGGCAGCUUUUAUUAGGUUUUGCAGUGAAGACGCUUCAUAGGAGACAGGAAAAAUAAGUGGGAAAACUAUGAAGUUUGACAGUGAUUAAAAGCAUUAUCUAACCCCUUCCUUUGGUUCUUAAGAGCCAUUAAUCACAUCGUGUAUUUACAUAGUGCUUGGAUGUGACCAUGAAAGAAAUAAUGCUCUCUUGAAAAGAACUAGUAAAAUUCACAAGCUUAAGGAUCAUCUCUGAAGGGAUCAGUACAGGAGGGAUGUGGAGCUGUUGGAGAAGGUCUGGAAGAGUCCACUAAGAUGAUCAGAGGGCUGGAGCACUUCUCUUAUGAAGAAAGAUUGAGGGAGUUCAGCCUUUUCAUUUUUGAAAGUUUCUAUGGCAAAAGUUAAGAAUAUGAACUGCCUCUUAAGCUUUGAAUUGCCUCGUUUAGCUAACUUGAAUUCUGAAAUCAUAUUUUGCUGCUCUUGUCCUCUUUUCGGUCUUUAAUUCAGCUGAGACUGCUCAGACAUUAUGAAUUCACAUCAAGAUGCUUCACAGACUGUCUCUGGGGAAACAGCCUUUUAAAAUGGCAGUCUUUUAACAGCGUGUUUAUGACUCCUUUUUUCAGAUUGAAUUCAUAAAAUUUGGAGGGAGAUACUACUCCCUUUAUGGAGAGGAUGAAAGCUUUCAUUUCUG
rnacentral:lncRNA from 1 species